rnacentral:lncRNA from 1 species
GACGUACGGUCCGGACACCUGGACGUACGGUCCGGACACCUGGACGUACGGUCCGGACACCUUUAUAUGUGUAUGUCUGUAUAUAGAUGUGCAGAGAAUGAUUUCUGUAUGUUUGCCAGUGGAUGGAGGCAGUAUCCAAAAGAUGAAGUUUAAGGAAGCAUAAAGAGGCCUAACGAGUGGGAUCUGGAGCGUAUGAACAGGUGGUGAUAAAAUGCUAGGCUAGAGUGACUUGGCCAGAAGAGGAAAACAGAACUCUUUCAGCAACAUUCUGAUUCAUGGUUCUUCAACUGCAAGAGAUGUGAAAGCCAAGAUGAAGUUUGUAUGAACUUGUUUUGGGAAAAGUAAUGGAAUGCCUCUUGCUCGGAGAGCUCCGUCUUCUACGAUAUCAAGGCGAUAUCGAGACGUCUACAUGCUGUGCAAGUACUUGGACUGUUUCUAUAAGCUGUACCUGAUGUUGAAGUGAAUUACUUUGAAGUUGUUCCAUAAAUGUUUAGCAGCAUGAUUAAGUGGGUCCUAUUUCCAUGUUUUACAUAGCAGGUCACAUGCAGUUAUGUGCCCUGCAGCUUCUUUUCUAAACUAACUUCAAGAAGUCAUAAAUGAGCCUGUAGAAACGAACUAAGACUAGAUUUCAUUCUACCUGCCACUAAAGCCUUAGAAAAGCUACCUCUUUCUAUUAAGUCAAAGCUCCUAUCGCGUGAAGGUUAUGGCUUCCCCAGAGCACUGUUUUAAACAGCAAAAGUAUUGUCUUAAAAGUAUUCAGCAUCAUUUCCUUUUAAGGUUAAGGAGAGGAGGUGAAAUUCACUUGUUUAGAAAAGACUCUGUAGACACCUAUCAGCCAGUAAUAGGAUGCGUUAGUUGUAGUUGAUAUCUAGAUGCUUACACGUAGCAAAUGCACUGUGCAAGGGACAAAGUAGGAUACGCAAUGCACAGCAGUCGUUACGAAGAACGCUGGUUGUUUCCCUUAGGAUUGGUAAGGAUGGAGUUCAGAAGCCCCUUAUGCAGAAACUUGCUUCUGUGCACAAACCCAGAGAUUCAGUGGGAUGGUGCCAUUUACAGACCCCAUCAGCAGUUUACUACCACCGUAACUCUUUAUUGUAGCUUAACCCUCCUCAGUUAGUGCUUUCCUAGUGUUCUGAAGGUGCCUUGAGGGAUAGGGAAGGUACAGAGAUAUUCAACCACUUAGUAAGCGAUUGAAGCUUUAAAACUAGGUAAGCAUCUGAACUACUACCUGUUUAACUUGUUAAGAUAAGCACUUUAUUGUAGACGUAUUCUGUGCUCUUAAAAAGAAUUACUGUGCAGCAGAUUUGCCUUUCGAUGUUGAACAGUUAUUCCUUCGCUAUCUGUCCACUGUUAGGUUAAGGACAAUGUACUGCACUUGAAUUUGUGCUAACGGUGCUUUGCCUGCCAGGUGAGGAAGAGGAAUGAAGAAAGAGCAGGACUAAAAUUUUCAGAAGGAAUUACGGAAGAAUCCAUCUUUCUAAUGUAGUUCCAAUGACACAUCUGUGGUUUGGGCUGGGAUCUGCUGUGUUCUUGAUUGCAAACUGCAGGUGACGUGUGUUCUAUUAGGACUGAUGGUAUUAUUAAUCAGUAAGGCUUAAAGAACGCAAAUAGCGUGGCCUUUUUUUUUUUUUUUAAAAAAGGAAGCACCAAAUGCUUUUAGAUUCAUCCCAAACUGAAGUUUGGAGUCGUGCUAUUGAAGUAUAAGUAGGCCUUACUUAAUCAGUUGUAUUAGGGAAUAUCAGACCGUGUUUUCCAUAAAUACAUAGUAGUUAUUAAGUUCACUUGCGUUCAUAAGGAAGCUUCAGAGUUUGAAGCUUGAGUAGUGUUACUGAAUGAGAUGAAUGAGUUAUUUCUCUAUUAUGGUACUUCAACACCAAUUUCCUACUGUAAACUGUUAUCUAAACAUUGUAAUGGGUAAAAAGAAUUCAUGCAAAUAUAUUAGCUGCUGUGUGAUAUUAUCUGAAAUUGCAGUGGAGAGAGGGAUGAACAAGCAGUCCUUAACUGCCAGUGUACUGUCUCUCAGAGCCCGAUAGUUUCUUAAUUUAUACAACCCAGGAUAAACUGCCACAGCCCACUGCAAGCCAGAAGAUGCGUGGGAAUCGCAUUGUGUUGCUUUCAGUGCUCCUAAACACUGCGACACUUUUGUGACCCAUCAGUAGGACCAGCAUUGGUUUGGUGUUAGGUGCUUUACGUUUACCAGGAAAACUAGGCACAGCCAGAAGGCAUAUAAAAACACUGUACACCUACCUAUGUAAUUGUGAAGGGAAAUUUCCAUAGCCCAGAUUGGCAUUUUAUUGUUUAUCUGCAACCUACAAUUCUUUACCAAGUUAUGCUAUUGUUGUGCAUGUUUUAGAUGGAACACAACCUUAAUACUUAAAUACAUGUUCUUUUUUUUGUAAACUGUGCUGUAAGAAUAUUGGACACUCAUUUUGAACUGUUUGGGAUGUGUUUUCUAGCUGUACUUAAUGCCAGUAUCUCAGACACAAAUAAACCGAUGUUGCAUAG